rnacentral:rRNA from 1 species
UACGGGGGGGGCAAGCGUUGUUCGGAAUUACUGGGCGUAAAGGGCUCGUAGGCGGCCAACUAAGUCGGAUGUGAAAUCCCCAGGCUUAACCUGGGAACUGCAUCCGAUACUGGAUGGCUUGAAUCCGGGAGAGGGAUGCGGAAUUCCAGGUGUAGCGGUGAAAUGCGUAGAUAUCUGGAGGAACACCGGUGGCGAAGGCGGCAUCCUGGACCGGCAUUGACGCUGAGGCGCGAAAGCUAGGGGAGCAAACAGG